rnacentral:lncRNA from 1 species
GAAGAAAGAGCAUAUUGCAUUACACAUCUCCAGAUCAUUGGUUUUCAGCCGGGGGUGAUUUUGACCCCAGGGGACAUUUGGCCAUCCCAAAAGGUCCAUAGUGCUGUGGUUGAAAAGCCCUGCUCUAGAUUGGAAAUAUAAUCAUUUGAAUCUAGAAUAUAAAUUAAAUUUAAUAAGAAAAAUGAUGGUGCCUUAAUAAUAAUUUUAUAAAUGGGAGAGAGUUUCUUAAUUUCAACAAUACGUCACUGAAUGUGGGUUGUCCCCACCUGUGAAGGACUAUGUGUAAGAUGUACUUACUCAUUGCCAAACCUCCUCAUUCUGCCCCAGCAAUUGGUUGUUAUGAUUUCAGCAAUUUGAAACCAUCCAUGUUUUUUUUUUUUAACCCCAAAGUUGAUAAGAAUGUAUAUACAUUUUCAGCACUUUAUAUAUUGGUUAUUUGCUUGGAUUAUGGAGUCUUUCCACUCACUAUUUUUGAUUUUCUGGUGAGUAGGAAAAGAAAUCUCAUGGUCAGAUGUCUUUAUAGACAGCGAUGUGCUUUUACAACUGUUGAAGUAGUCGGCUUUCCCAUCCAUUUAAAUUUAUUUCAGUAGUGCUUUUGAUGUGUUCCUUCUGCCCCUGUAUUCCCCCUUUUCUUUUGAUGCUAUUUUGAUGCAGGGGGAGAAAUUGUGACCUUGAUAUACUCUGCAAAUAUUUUUCACUUAUUUUAAAAAAUCAAACAUCUCACCAAAUUAGAUGUAAUAUAUCACUGGAAUAUUUAAAAAGUUAUAGCCUUCUCAAAUGGCAGUUUUCUGCAUAUGUCUAUGUUUAUAGAGUUAUAAUAUUGCUUUAAAAUUGUGAAUAAGCAGGACACUAGAGUGGCUAAUAGCCCGACAUGGAGAAAUAACAUUUCUGGCUGCAAUGUUGUUACAUUUCACUGUGAACGAUGUUAUCACAUAAAGGCCUCUUUAAAUAUAAAUUUUAGCAUAAAAUUAUCUAUCAAGAGAGUAAUUUUAUAAAUGUGAUACACUGUUAAGAAAGCCCUACAUAUACACAUAGGCAUGUGCUCUCUCUCUCACUCUCUCUCUCUCUAUACAGGGUACUAGAGACACAGAGAGAGGGAAUAUAAAUAUGUAUACAUUUAAUUGAAUAAGGUUUAAAUAAAAAUCAGUAUCUAUAGAUUUUUUUCCCUCCUUUUCUCUUUCCUAUUAGUCAGCUAGUGCUAGAGCAAUGCUGUGUAACAAACCAUCUCAAACUCACUAGGCUUGCAACGGCAAGCAUUUAUCUUUAAACUCACAGAUCUGCAGGUGACUCUGGUUCAGCUGAUUGACACCAGGUUUAGCUGGGAGGCUUAUCUGAUCAGCAGGUUUUGUUAGCUCUGCUCCAUAGUUAGGUGUCCCAGGGUGCAGUUUGAAGGGGCUUGCUUUUAUCUAGUGGGUCACCAGAGCACAAGAGACAAGCCAAACUUCAAAUACAUUUUAUGGCCUUUUGUCACAUUAUAUUCAUUAGAGUUCUGUUGACCAAAACAAGACACAUGGCCAAGUCCAAUGUUAAGGAACUUAAAAAAUGUAUUUUUUCCAUAGUGAUAAAGGAACGGGAUUGGAAUAGAUAUUUGCUUAAAAAUGUCCAACUGUCACAACUUCAUCUUAUUUCAGAUAGAGGUAAGCUGUCCAUUUUACCCAGAGUUAUGUUCUCUGCCUCCUCCUACCCCCAGAAUUGAGGCCAGGUUCCAGAAAAUCCAGCCCAGAUCUGUGCAGCAUCAUUCAGCUAGACAUUCUAUUGCACACAUCUAUGUUUUUCCACACUUAUAAUGAUAUGUUAAUGUAUGCACAGAUAUGGUUAAUUUGAGACAAUAAUUUAAUUAUAGACUCCAACAUUCCGCAGCAUAAACAACUCAACAGGAAAGAAAGACAUAAGAAUGGCUCAAAUUUGGUACCAGAGUGUAAUUAUGAAAUGACAUACCAAUUAGGAAUGCAAAUAACUUUUAAGAAAAACAAACAUUUUAGGUGUUUCAUGUCUUCCCCUGGAGAACAUACAUUAGCAAACCAGAGAGGAAAUAGAAUAUGCCCAGGAUUUGGGGGUCAUGGCAAGUCUCUUCCUCUAUUUUUCUCUCUUCUGCUCUGUGGAAUUAUCUCUCUCUGUGUCUCUUGCUCAAUCUCUGAUUUACCUCCUGAGCUUUACAUGGACCAGGGUCCAAUCUGCUUGAGAAUGUAUCAACUUGGCUUCUCCUUGACUUGGACUGUACAUGCAGUAUGAAAUAAUGUAACCACAAUAGAAUGUGGUAGGCAGAAUUCUACAAGUGGCUCUUAAUAACCCUUUACCCUUGUAUAAUCCCCUCCUCUUUGAGUGUGUGUAGAAUAUUUCAGUAUGUUGAAAUAUAAUUCCUGGGAUUAUAUUAUUACAUAUCAAAAUUCACCUUAAGAUCAGGAGUUUAUCUAUGUGGGUCUACCCUAAUCAUGUAAUUCCUUGAAAGUAUAGAAUUUUCUCCAAUAGGUGGCAGAAGAACAAGCCAGAGAGAUUCAAAGCAUGAAAAGAAUUCAAGAGUUCCCAUUGUGGCUCAGCAGUACUGAACCCGACUAGCAUCCAUGAGGAUGUGGGUUUGGUCCCUGGCUCAGCUGAGGGGGUUAAGGGUUCGAUGUAGCCAUGAGUUGUGGUGUAGGUCACAGACACAGCUGGGAUCUGGCAUUGCUAUGGCUGUGGUGUAGGCUGGAGCCUGUAACUCCAAUUCUACCCCUUACCUGGGAACCUCCAUGUGCUGGGGGUGCAGCCCUGAAAAG